rnacentral:rRNA from 1 species
AGCGAACGCUGGCGGCAGGCCUAACACAUGCAAGUCGAACGAAGUCUUCGGACUUAGUGGCGGACGGGUGAGUAACACGUGGGAACGUGCCUUUAGGUUCGGAAUAACUCAGGGAAACUUGUGCUAAUACCGACUGUGCCCUUCGGGGGAAAGAUUUAUCGCCUUUAGAGCGGCCCGCGUCUGAUUAGCUAGUUGGGGAGGUAAAGGCGAACCAAGGCGACGACCAGUAGCUGGUCUGAGAGGAUGAUCAGCCACAUUGGGACUGAGACACGGCCCAAACUCCUACGGGAGGCAGCAGUGGGGAAUCUUGCGCAAUGGGCGAAAGCCUGACGCAGCCAUGCCGCGUGAAUGAUGAAGGUCUUAGGAUUGUAAAAUUCUUUCACCGGGGACGAUAAUGACGGUACCCGGAGAAGAAGCCCCGGCUAACUUCGUGCCAGCAGCCGCGGUAACAC